rnacentral:rRNA from 1 species
GAGUUUGAUCCUGGCUCAGAACGAACGCUGGCGGCAGGCCUAACACAUGCAAGUCGAGCGCGCCUUUCGGGGUGAGCGGCGGACGGGUUAGUAACGCGUGGGAAUAUGCCCAAAGGUACGGAAUAGCCUCUGGAAACGGAGAGUAAUACCGUAUGUGCCCUUCGGGGGAAAGAUUUAUCGCCUUUGGAUUAGCCCGCGUUAGAUUAGGUAGUUGGUGGGGUAAUGGCCUACCAAGCCUACGAUCUAUAGCCGGUUUUAGAGGAUGAUCAGCAACACUGGGACUGAGACACGGCCCAGACUCCUACGGGAGGCAGCAGUGGGGAAUCUUGGACAAUGGGGGCAACCCUGAUCCAGCCAUGCCGCGUGAGUGAUGAAGGCCUUAGGGUCGUAAAGCUCUUUCGCCUGUGAAGAUAAUGACGGUAGCAGGUAAAGAAACCCCGGCUAACUCCGUGCCAGCAGCCGCGGUAAUACGGAGGGGGCUAGCGUUGUUCGGAAUUACUGGGCGUAAAGCGCACGUAGGCGGAUCGGAAAGUUGGGGGUGAAAUCCCGGGGCUCAACCCCGGAACUGCCUCCAAAACUAUCGGUCUAGAGUUCGAGAGAGGUGAGUGGAAUUCCGAGUGUAGAGGU